CCUACGGGUGGCAGCAGUGAGGAAUAUUGGUCAAUGGCCGGAAGGCUGAACCAGCCAAGCCGCGUGAGGGAGGAAGGCGCAGAGCGUCGUAGACCUCUUUUGUCGGGGGACAAAAGGCCGGACUCGUCCGGUUCUGAGGGUACCCGGAGAAAAAGCAUCGGCAAAUUCCGUGCCAGCAGCCGCGGUAAUACGGAGGAUGCGGGCGUUAUCCGGAUUAAUUGGGUUUAAAGGGUGCGAAGGCGGGCCUUUAAGCCGGCGGUGAAAUCGCGGGGCUCAACCCCGCCGAGCCGUCGGAACUGGGGGCCUUGAGUGCGGCGGAGGCAUGCGGAAUGCGCGGUGUAGCGGUGAAAUGCAUAGAUAUCGCGCAGAACCCCGAUUGCGAAGGCAGCGUGCCGUGCCGCCACUGACGCUGAGGCACGAAAGCGCGGGGAUCGAACAGGAUUAGAUACCCGAGUAGUC
rnacentral:rRNA from 1 species